GGGGCUGUAGCUCAGUGGUGAAGCGCCCACCUAGCAUGUGUGAGGCACUGAGUUCAAUCCUCAGCACCACA
rnacentral:tRNA from 1 species